rnacentral:rRNA from 1 species
ACUUAAAUUGAAGAGUUUGAUCAUGGCUCAGAUUGAACGCUGGCGGCAGGCCUAACACAUGCAAGUCGAGCGGUAGCACAGAGAGCUUGCUCUCGGGUGACGAGCGGCGGACGGGUGAGUAAUGUCUGGGAAACUGCCUGAUGGAGGGGGAUAACUACUGGAAACGGUAGCUAAUACCGCAUAACGUCGCAAGACCAAAGUGGGGGACCUUCGGGCCUCAUGCCAUCAGAUGUGCCCAGAUGGGAUUAGCUAGUAGGUGGGGUAACGGCUCACCUAGGCGACGAUCCCUAGCUGGUCUGAGAGGAUGACCAGCCACACUGGAACUGAGACACGGUCCAGACUCCUACGGGAGGCAGCAGUGGGGAAUAUUGCACAAUGGGCGCAAGCCUGAUGCAGCCAUGCCGCGUGUGUGAAGAAGGCCUUCGGGUUGUAAAGCACUUUCAGCGGGGA